GAUGAACGCUAGCGGCAGGCUUAACACAUGCAAGUCGAGGGGUAUUGGUUUUCGGACCAAGAGACCGGCGCACGGGUGCGUAACGCGUAUGCAAUCUACCUUUUGCAGAGGGAUAGCCCCAGAGAAAUUUGGAUUAAUACCUCAUAGUAUAGUACUUUGGCAUCAAGGAACUAUUAAAGUCACAACGGCAAAAGAUGAGCAUGCGUCCAUUAGCUAGUUGGUAAGGUAACGGCUUACCAAGGCUACGAUGGGUAGGGGUCCUGAGAGGGAGAUCCCCCACACUGGUACUGAGACACGGACCAGACUCCUACGGGAGGCAGCAGUGAGGAAUAUUGGACAAUGGGCGCAAGCCUGAUCCAGCCAUGCCGCGUGCAGGAUGACGGUCCUAUGGAUUGUAAACUGCUUUUGUACAGGAAGAAACACUACUUCGUGAAGUAGCUUGACGGUACUGUAAGAAUAAGGAUCGGCUAACUCCGUGCCAGCAGCCGACGG
rnacentral:rRNA from 1 species